rnacentral:piRNA from 1 species
UACCAGCUGGUGACUUUCCUACUCAAACCCUU